CCUACGUGGUGCUGCGGUGAGGAAUAUUGGUCAAUGGGCGCGAGCCUGAACCAGCCAAGUAGCGUGAAGGAUGACUGCCCUACGGUUUGUAAACUUCUUGUAUAAAGGAAUAAAGUGAGGCACGUGUGCCUUUUUGUAUGUACUUUAUGAAUAAGGAUCGGCUAACUCCGUGCCAGCAGCCGCGGUAAUACGGAGGAUCCGAGCGUUAUCCGGAUUUAUUGGGUCUAAAGGGAGCGUAGAUGGGUUGUUAAGUCAGUUGUGAAAGUUUGCGGCUCAACCGGAAAAUUGCAAUUGAUACUGGCAGCCGUGAGUACAGUUGAGGUAGGCGGAAUUCGUGGUGUAGCGGUGAAAUGCUU
rnacentral:rRNA from 1 species